CAAUAGCCACACCUGUAACUUUUGACAUACACUUAUGUGCUCACACAUAUGAUACAGUACACAAAGGGGAAAAUGCAAAAGUGGAUAUGUUAAGAAACUGUACUAUUUUACUAAUUAAUUAUUAAUAUAUCAAACGGUAUACAUACAGUUUCUGUAAGAAUACUGACAAGGUAUUUGGGCAAAACAUAUUUCAAAACAGCUUUAAGCAAAAGAAAAAUAGGAAGAAGUUUCCACGCAGGAUAAUUUCUUUGAAUCGUUCGAAGAAAAAGAAACUGUAGUCUAACAACAAAUACUUGUUAUAAAUAGAUGAUGCCAGCUAGUGUAUUGUUGAGCUAAUAGAAAUGAAGACGUAUAGAUUGCGUUACAGGCGGUUUAACGAACAAUUGUGUAAUUAAAAGAAGAUGCAACUCACUGUCGAACGUCAGUUAAUAAUUCAUACUUGGCCUGGGGCACGGGGAUUUGGUUAACCAUUGAACGUAACCGAUGUUCGUUAAGAUCGACGCUUGAGGACGCUGGUCCUCGAAGAGGGUGGCUUUCGUUUACCACUUUUAUUAUUACUACGCCCAGCGUGAUCCGAUAUGAUACAUCGGCAUAUAAUAUAUACGUAAACGUUUGUAGCGUUCCUGGGCCACCAAGUACACCGCUAAACCUCCAAAGAUGAUCAAGAAGAGUCCGAUGACAUUGAUUAAU